rnacentral:rRNA from 1 species
UGGGGAAUAUUGCACAAUGGGCGCAAGCCUGAUGCAGCCAUGCCGCGUGUGUGAAGAAGGCCUUCGGGUUGUAAAGCACUUUCAGCGAGGAGGAAGGUGGUGAACUUAAUACGUUCAUCAAUUGACGUUACUCGCAGAAGAAGCACCGGCUAACUCCGUGCCAGCAGCCGCGGUAAUACGGAGGGUGCAAGCGUUAAUCGGAAUUACUGGGCGUAAAGCGCACGCAGGCGGUUUGUUAAGUCAGAUGUGAAAUCCCCGGGCUCAACCUGGGAACUGCAUUUGAAACUGGCAAGCUAGAGUCUCGUAGAGGGGGGUAGAAUUCCAGGUGUAGCGGUGAAAUGCGUAGAGAUCUGGAGGAAUACCGGUGGCGAAGGCCGGCCCCCUGGACGAAGACUGACGCUC